CGCGGAUCAGCAUGCCGCGGUGAAUACUUCCCGGGCCUUGUACACACCGCCCGUCACACCAUGGGAGUAGAUUGUACCAGAAGCGGCUAGCCUAACCUUCGGGAGGGCGGUUACCACGGUAUGGUUUAUGACUGGGGUUGAAGUCGUAACAAGGUAGCCGUAGGGGAACCUGCGGCUGGAUCACCUCCUUUAAAGAAAAGGGUCUAGACCCCACACACGCCACUCGGUAAGGAAUU
rnacentral:rRNA from 1 species